rnacentral:rRNA from 1 species
AGGAUCAUUGUCGAUGCCUUACAUGCCGUCCGGGGGGCACCCGCCCCUCGUGUCCACGCGUGCCGUGGAGGGACGCAUCUGCGCCCGACACGGCUCGCCAACGAACCCCGGCGCGAGAAGCGCCAAGGAAAUUGAGUACUAGGAGCACGCCCUCGUAGCCUCGGUGUCGGGGGCGCGCCUUCUUUUUGUGAUAAUCUGAACGACUCUCGGCAACGGAUAUCUCGGCUCUCGCAUCGAUGAAGAACGUAGCGAAAUGCGAUACUUGGUGUGAAUUGCAGAAUCCCGCGAAUCAUCGAGUCUUUGAACGCAAGUUGCGCCCGAAGCCACCUGGCCGAGGGCACGUCUGCCUGGGUGUCACGCAUCGUUGCCCCCAACCCCAUCGCCCUGCAAAGAGGCGGUGGGGGCAUGCGGGGCGGACAUUGGCCUCCCGUGGGCUGAUGCCUGCGGCUGGCCUAAAAACGAGUCCUCGGCGACGAUCGCCACGACAAUCGGUGGUUGACAAACCUUCGUGACCCGUCGUGCGCGCAUCGCCGCUCAACGCGUGCUCUUUUGACCCUGUCGCGUCGCGCUCGCGACGCUUCCAACGCGACCCCAGGUCAGGCGGGACUACCCGCUGAG